rnacentral:lncRNA from 1 species
AAAAAUCAACAAACAAUGAGAAAACAAAGAACUAAUUCAGCAAUGCGCAGUAACAAAUAGGAAAAUACUAACAAUGUUCCUAUUAAGCAAAAACAAUGGAAAUAUGGAGAAAACAAAAUUAAACUAAAAGAAAAAAAUACAAAAACACGAAAAUUAAUCUAAUAAAGUCAAUUAAGAAUUUUAAGAUUUUUUUCAGAAUUUUCUGAAACUAUCAAAAUAGAAAACAAAU